rnacentral:snoRNA from 1 species
UGCAGCCUUGUCAAAUUCAGCGCGGUCUGGUCAGUUGCCGUUGCUGGCCAAAGUGGCUGCCACAUUAACGCUCGCAGUAGCUCAUGGGCCUCAUGUCCUUCAUAUUGGAGGUGGGGAUAAAUAUCUGCUACUUACACAC